GAAUUACUCCCUUCGUUCCAUAAUUCUUGUCUCAAAUUUGCCGAAAAAUGGAUGUAUCUAUUAAUAAAAGUGUCUAGAUACAUGUAAUAUUUCGACAAGAAUUAUGGAACGGAGGGAGUAUUAU
rfam:Brachypodium distachyon strain Bd21 chromosome 1, whole genome shotgun sequence.